AAGGUGCAUGAAGAGGAUGUUGUGUCCCACAUCCUUGCUGGACUCGAUGAGGAGUUCGACCCCGUGGUGUCGGCCAUGUGCUCUAGUCAAGGUCCUGGAGCUGUACUCGCAACUCCUGAGCUUCGAAA
rfam:Triticum aestivum genome assembly, contig: Triticum_aestivum_CS42_TGACv1_scaffold_577648_7BL